AUUGAACGCUGGCGGCAGGCUUAACACAUGCAAGUCGAACGAGUGGCGGACGGGUGAGUAAUGCUUGGGAAUCUAGCUAAUGGAGGGGGAUAACUACGGGAAACUGUAGCUAAUACCGCGUACCAUAGGAUGAGCCCAAGUGGGAUUAGGUAGUUGGGGAGGUAAAGGCUCACCACGCCGACGAUCUGUAGCUGGUCUGAGAGGAUGACCAGCCACACUGGGACUGAGACACGGCCCAGACUCCUACGGGAGGCAGCAGUGGGGAAGAUUGGGCAAUGGGGGAAACCUGACGCAGCCAUGCCGCGUGAAUGAAGAAGGCCUUCGGGGUGUAAAGUUCUUUCGGUAGAGAGGCGUUAACUACAGAAGAAGCACCGGCUAACUCCGUGCCAGCAGCCGCGGUAAUUC
rnacentral:rRNA from 1 species